rnacentral:rRNA from 1 species
AGCGGCGACAGAAAGAACGUUCAAUGCACCAGUUCACAAUAGAUCACUCAAAUUAAGCAACACUUCACGUGGUUAGUAUCCGGAUGGGUGACCAUCUUGAAAAUCUUAGCGCCAGUU